rnacentral:rRNA from 1 species
UACAACUUUCAACAACGGAUCUCUUGGCUCUCGCAUCGAUGAAGAACGCAGCGAAAUGCGAUACGUAAUGUGAAUUGCAGAAUUCAGUGAAUCAUCGAAUCUUUGAACGCACCUUGCGCCCCUUGGCAUUCCGAGGGGCACACCCGUUUGAGUGUCG